GCGGUUGACAUCAAGUAUGCCACGUAAGGGAUUUGAAAGCGACAUUUUCUGAAAAUAAAGAUGCAGCAGAAAUGAAUAACAUGUAGAUUUUGCAAGAAAUAAACUAUCAAGAUAUGGACUUCUAUCUUAAUAUGCUCCCACUAUUUUACUAACGAGUCACGCGACACCCUCAGCACGUGAAACGGAAGUCUCCGACAGACUUCUAGUGGGGAUCAGGAUCCAAUCAGCGUCUUAGUGUAACCUCGAGGGACUCG
rnacentral:lncRNA from 1 species